rnacentral:rRNA from 1 species
GCCUAGCUAUAACACACAAUCAAACUACGAAUUGUUCGCCAAACAACUACGAGUAAUACUUAAAACUUAAAAGACUUGACGGUACUUCACCCCAGCCUAGAGGAGCCUGUCUAAUAACCGACAAUCCACGAUUAACCCAACCACUUCUUGCCCAACAGUCUAUAUACCGCCGUCGCCAGCUUACCUUGUAAAAGAAAUAAAGUGAGCUAAAUAGUAACACACUAAAACGACAGGUCGAGGUGUAACUUAUGAAGAGGCCAAGAUGGGCUACAUUCUCAAACCAAGAAUACGAACAACACUGUGAAAUCGGUGUUCAAAGGCGGAUUUAGCAGUAAGAUAAGAACAAAAUACCUAACUGAACAUAACGCAAUGAAGUGCGCACACACCGCCCGUCAUCCCUGCCACCACAAUAUCAAACUUUAAUAA